AUUGCACUACACUCCCACCAGAUAUGCAUUAUCGUCCCUCUAUCCCUUUGGCAUCUCCAGCAUGUAGGUGCAACAGAUGGGAAGAUCCUAUGUAGGAGAACCGGGGUCCGAUACCACGAGGCGAUCAAUUUAUAAUUCGUUUCUUGAUAUUGAGAGCUAACCGAGCUCUUGUGUUGCCACAAAAGUGCCUUAUCCCAUUGUUGCGGUGUAAAGGUUGUGUCCAUCCGCUCCUCCCACUCCCUGCGGAACACAGUAUUCACGGUCAGAUGCCCCGUCAAAAUGUGUUGAUAGAGUAUAGAGAUAGCAUUGUCUAAUACGACCUUCCUCUCGCAGCAGUCCUCGAACCAAGUGCGGUCCCUAUGCAGUUGUUCCUUGUCCCGCAGUUUAUUGUGGUAGUGCUUCACCUGUAGGUAACGGAGCAUUGCCAG